rnacentral:rRNA from 1 species
CAGUCGCCGCGGUAAUACAUAGGUGGCAAGCGUUGUCCGGAAUUAUUGGGCGUAAAGGGCUCGCAGGCGGUUUCUUAAGUCUGAUGUGAAAGCCCCCGGCUCAACCGGGGAGGGUCAUUGGAAACUGGGAAACUUGAGUGCAGAAGAGGAGAGUGGAAUUCCACGUGUAGCGGUGAAAUGCGUAGAGAUGUGGAGGAACACCAGUGGCGAAGGCGACUCUCUGGUCUGUAACUGACGCUGAGGAGCGAAAGCGUGGGGAGCGAACAGGAUUAGAUACCCCUGUAGUCCCUGUCUCUUAUAC